CCUCUGCUACACCAACAUGUGUGAUAAAUUGUCAACAAUCAACAAUUUUCGACUUUUCGACUCUAUUCUCUCUCUCUUUUUUUCUUAGUCUUUUAUCCAUCACCUCUAUGACAAAACUCAACUUUUCCAACUCUUCUUCUACUAUUGUUCCGAUCAUGGCUUCCGCUCCUAACCUUCUUCGAGGCAACGCUUUACCACAGCUCAUUAAUGCCCUUCGAAGAUUACAAGACGACCCAGAACUCCUUGCUCGAGAGCGAGAGCAGUACCGCGACUCUCCACCACCAUACCCGUCAGGCGAGACAACACAGCCUCCUAGCCUUCCUCGUUCUCCCUCUGAAUCUCAACUAGAAUGGCAGCGGGAAGAAGAACGUAAAAGUUCAGUCCCUGGUAGGCAGUUCAAGUACCAGACUCUGAGGGAGUAUCACCUGCUCAUUGAACAGAUUAGAAGGAGGCGGGAAAGACGGAAAUACACGCUGCCUUACGACGACAAGCUCGACCUCAUUGGGAAUGCGGAGAACAAUGUCAAAAAUCGCUGGAUAGAGCAAGGGAUAUGGAAUGAUAAAUGGAGCUUAUACUCUGUUGGGCCACGUUGGAAACACGAAGAGCCUCUUGAACCACCACCAGCGCCGGACCCCAAACCACAGCCACGCUCAUCAUCCCACCCAAGAUUUACAUUCGGGCUAUUCGGACUAGAACUCCCGGAGUGCCCGAAACCACAGGAACCACCAAUAGCUUAUACCGAGGAACAGCUGGCGUCCAAGGAGCGUGAAAGGGCAGCCUCUCGUCCCUACCAUCAGUUUCUUUUCCAGAUGUCCAAAGAACGCGAAUGGAUUGAAGAUGAAUUGUACAUCGACAUUUUUGACAUGGACGCCAAGGUCUAUGAAAACGUCAAGAAUCGCUGGAUCGAACAAAAGAUCUGGAACCCUAGGUGGGGUGAUAUGCCCGGAAUGACCUGGAUCCACGAAGAGCCUGACAACCAUGAAUCUGAUAUUUCGAACCACCCCGUCGCAGUUCCAGAAGAGGGAUUUCGAGCUAACGCUGCCGAAAUUGACGCACAAUCUCGCCACUCUACCGGCCGUCGUAUUUAUUUUGGUUUGGCAUCCUCCGAGGCAAACCACGAUCAACGUGGCCGGAGUAGAUCCCCAUCGGUACCACGAAUGGUAGUAGACUCCAAUGGAGCAGGCCUUGGGUCCACCACUACAAAGAAAACCAAACGAUCAAGCCGCGCAGCGGUUAAUAUGGAGGGUACACCGGUGCCUCGUGAGUCAGCCAACCGGACUCUUCGGGCAGAUAGCUCAUCAAAAGUCAGAAAACACCCCAAACGGAAUCCUCCAAGGCGUCACCUGCAAAAACGCAUUCAGGAUAUGGCUGGGUCCGCAGACGCACGUCGACGUGCACUGGGUAAUCUUAGAGGAACUGAGCAACAGGAACAACAGGCUGACGAUGCGAAUUCAUCUCCCACUGCCUCACAGUUGCCACAACGGAACCUCAGAUUGGAUACUGGAGAAUCCCCACCAGUAGUGCGUCGAAGCUCCAGGAUCGAGGCACGGAGUGGAACAAGUAAAAGUACAAUGUAUGACACAGCUCCAGCUCCAACUCCUGCUAGAAGACGUCGCCGCCGUAGCCAGCAGGUGAAUCCUGAAAUAUCCGCAAAUCCACGCCAACGACGAGGAGUCUUGAAGAAUCGCCCCAGAAGACAAGAGACCACGAGCUCUCUGAACGCCCAGCCAGAACCACGCCGGAAAGGCAGGUUGAGGGUAAAGGCAGGCCUCGUUGGCUGAACAAUUCAGCAAUUUCGGAAGUGGAAAACUUCGUCGACCUGCCAUUGAUGAGAUGUCUCCCUCCUGCAGUAAAUUGUGGUGUUUUGCAGUCGAAGCUAGGGCGCCCUCAAUCAAACGCCCCCAUCCUUCUUUUGGUGAUGGCAGUCAACUGAGUCAUGCAAGCCUUCUAGCCUCUGCCGAAGGUAGAAAUGGUGCGUGAAACAUCAGCACAGCUGUUCAAAGCAAGAAAGUAAUUAUUAUCAUUUGGGAUAAUUCUGCUACAUGGCAUUGGUCAACUUGCUGCAGAGGAUUCUCUGGCGCUUUUCCGUAUACGGACUCGGCACGGAAAUUGUCUUGAAUGUUUGUGUUUGAGAAAGUCGCGUCCAGAAGCCCAUCCAAAACAACCCCCGGAAGCCUCAUGGAGCCGGUUUAAAUAGAGCAAUUCCCUCUCUCACAGACACUCCCACCGUUUAACUGUUUAUUGGCUUCCGCGGAGGAAGCAGCAACCUUCACUUGGGUUAUUUGGGUGUCUUUCCACCUUUCCCCCCAAGCACAAUCCUUGGUUCGAAAUCGAAGUCGAAGUCGAAAAAUAAAAAUAUUGACGGAGGUGAAAGGUUGGCUUAUUGUAACUAUCUAGCGGGCGCAGCACCGCUUAAAUAGGUGUGGUCACGUGUUGUUCUAGCAAGCAAUAGGGAAGCCAACAAAAUAUUAAGUAAAAUUUCUCCGACGAAGCAACUUCAGGAAUAUUGCAAGGAUCAGAUGAGUGGUUUGCAGUAGAAGGGGCCAAGGGAGGAUUUUUGAUACUUUAUUUACCCGGUUAAGAAUAAAACUAAAGUCGAUUAUAUUGGGAUUAUAAAUAAAAUAUCUGGCUUUUGACACGGCAAUGACAUGGCAUAAAGAUAUCAUAUAGUAAGAAAAAUACAGGAGGAUGGUAAAUGCCAAAAUUUUGCUCGUCCCUCUCAUUCCCCAUUUCCUCCUUGUGUUGGCGUUAUUUUAGCCAUAAUAUAGAUUAAUUGACGCUUUUGAACGAGAUAUUUAAUAUAUAUAAAAUUGGAUUAGAAACGUCCCAACGACACGUCUGAUCGAUAAGGUGUAAACGGAUGGAAGGGAAACAAGGACGAAAAACAAAAAAGAAGAAAAAGAGGAAAAUAAGUAAAAAGGAAAAAAGGAAAA
rnacentral:sRNA from 1 species